CGCCGCCGUUCCAUCCGGGUAUCGGCCUGUGUCUGGAAGUCCCAAGGAACUCCUGCCAUUGGUUCAAACAUCACCCCAUGUGGACUCUCCCCUCCACUGCCUGCAAUUACUGAGCCUCACUAUAAGUAAGCUGUUAUUCCUGCUGUUCCUCUGGAUGACUGUUUCUUGGGUUGGUAGCUCUGGCAUGGAAAUACCCUUGCGGUGCUAUUUAGGAGGGACCCCUCGAUGUAGCAACUUAGCACAUCUGUUUCCUGCCAUGAAGACUUAUCACAUGAGGAUGUUAUCUGCAAUAUCACUGUGAAAGCAGAGGACCCUGUCCUCAUUGCAGCCAAUGGUAGGAAGUCUCCUGUUCCAUGUUAUUUGGCUUUGGGGUGUCUACUCAGAGGUGGUAGGAAGUCUCCUGUUCCAUGUUAUUUGGCUUUGGGGUGUCUACUCAGAAGCCAGGAAAAGCAAGCAAACAGCACACAAAUCCAGAUGUGUACCUGCCAAUAUCAUUCCCAGCAGCCCACAAAGGUGCAAUUACUGGUGGUGUCAUUAUAAUAUAAGGACUGUUUGGCACCUCUGUUGGCACCUAAGAAUGUGACGUUUGUGUCCAAGCCUAAUGGCCACCUAUAUUGCUCAUUUGAGGAUUGCUUACUCUGCACAGCAAUAUAAGUCUUCAGUGCACACCUUUAUUCACUAGAGCGCUGCUCCUCAGUCAGACAAGCUGUCUUGGUCAUACCCAUCUGAACAUCAGAGGAACCAUAAUUAACUGUGCAUCUGUGGAUUAUGUUACAAGACCUGCACAAGGAAUUUGACUUCAUUAAAGACACAGUAAGAGGCAAUGUAAUAAUGAGAAUGUCAACAGGUCCAGAUUAGAAAAAGGAGAAAUACUGCACAAGACUACACUAAUCAAUACUGUGACAGACUUUUUUUUUUUUUGGUCAUGCCCUGCAGGAUCUUAGUUCCCUAACCAGGGAUCAACCCAGGCCCACAGCAGUGAAAGUGCUGAGUCCUAACCACUGGAUGCCAGGAAAUUACUGGAAAAGAAGGGAAUAUUUUAGACAGGAACAAAGUUCUUAUCAAAAUGUUGGAAAUGGGAUUGCCCAUUUUAUAAUUUGCAGACAGAAAAUAAAACAGCUUGGCCAGAGCAAAGAAUUUGUGUGGGGAAUUUUGGAAGGUAAAGCUGGAGAUGUAGAACUGGGGCAGAUCAUGGGGAACCAUGAAUGUGAACAUCUGCUUAGCAGCAGGGUCCUAGUUUGUCAGAAAUGCUGAAUCUACCUUUCAAAAGCUGACCGAAUACACUGAGUUGGUAAAUAACUCUACUCGAUUGGCAGGAAGAAAACACUUGCAGGAUUUUAACCCUAACAUAUGCUCCCCUUAAACAGACACCUAAAACCGUCAGCUAUACUAUAAAUAAGCAUAAUCUCACACUUUAUUAUGCAUUAUAGAACACAAUGAUAAAAUACUUCCCAUAAUGAACACCUUUAGGUUCCUUUUUACAACUUCCAGAAUUCUCCAUCAUGAGGACAAAUUCACCUAGUAAAGGAAUUUCAAACUAUCUUUCCUUGACAUUCUGCUGAAAGAUUUUGAUUAAAAGUAUAGGAAACAACAGGGCAUAGUUGACAUUGACAAUAGCAGUUUCCAUGCAUUACUGGGCAUGAAAGCCAGAUUGGAAUAGGCUCAAGAAAAAAAAAUAAGGGACUUCCUAGGUGGCACAGUGGUUAAGAAUCUGCCUGCCAAUGCAGGGGACAUGGGUUUAAUCCCUGCCCCAGGAAGAUACCACAUGCUGUGGAGCAACAAAGCCCAUGCGCCACAACUAUUGAGCCUGCACUCUAGAGUCCCUGCUCUCAGCGACUAGAGAAAGCCUGUUCACAGCAACAAAGACCCAACGCAGCCAAUAAAUAAAUUUAUUUUAAAAAAUAAUAAAAAAUAAAUAAGAAAAGAGGAUGUCACGAUAGUAGGUUUAGGAAAAUUAGAGUUUUUAAAUUGAGAUAUAAUGUACAUACCAAAACAUACAUCGUUUUAAAAUAUACAACCCGGUGGUUUUUAGUAUACUCAUAAGGUGGUGUAACCAUCACCACUAAUUCCAGAACCUUUUCAUCCCCCCAAAAAGAAACCCUAACCCUUACCCACUGGCAAUCAUGCCUCAUUCCCUUCAUCCCCCAGUCCCUUUCAAUCACUGAUCUACUUUCUGUCUCUAUGGAUUUGCCUGUUAUGGACAUUUCACAUAAAAGGAAUCCUACAAUAUGUGGCCUUUUGUAUCUGGCUUCUUUCACUUAGCAUGUUUUCAAGGUUCAACCUGCUGUAGCAUGUAUCCAUACUUCAUCCCUUUUUAUGGCUAAAGAACGUUCCACUGUAUGUAUACACCACAUUUUGCUUAUCCAUUCAUUUGUUGAUGGACAUUUGGGUUGUUUCUAUUUUUUGGCUAUUAUGAACAAUGCUGCUGUGAACAUCCAUGUACAAGUUUUUGUGUGAACAAAUGUCUUCAAUUUUCUUGGGUACAUUGCUGAAGUGGAAUUGCUGGGUCAUUUGAUGACACUAUGUUUAACUUUUUGUGGGAUCAUCAAACUGUUUUCCACAAUGGCUGCACCAUUUUACAUUCCCACCAGCCAUGUAUGAGGGUUCUAAUUUCUCUACAUCCUCACGAACACUUUUUCUUUAAAAAAAUUAUAAUCAUCAUAGUGGGUAUGACUUUAGAGAGUUUUGCUGUGAAGAAAAGCAAAGAAUUGGGCUGGUGGCUAGAGAGGGUGGUUGUAUCAAGCUCUUUUUGUUUUUGUUUUUUAUUUUAAGAUGGGAUAUAUUAUCACUUGUUUGUAUGCUGAUGGAAGUAAUCUAGUAGAGAAGGGAAAAUGGAUUAUGUAGGAGACAGGUUGGACAGUUGUGGGAGCCAUGUUCUUGAGUAGGAGAGGGGGUAGGUCCAAAUGACAAGUGGAAGAAUUGGCUUUACAUGGGAGCAGUUUACCAAAUAUGGUGGUGCUAUGGUCUGAAUGCUUGUGUCUCCCCCAAGUUCAUAUAUUGAAAACUAAACCCCAAGGUGAUUAAAUUAAGAUGCAGGCCUUUGGGGUGAUUGGCUUAUGAGGGUGGGGCUUCAUGAUUGGGAUUAGUGCCCUUAUAAAAGAGACCCUGCAGAGAUUCCUCAUCUUUUCUACCAUGUGAGGACACAGCAAGAAGUCAGCAGUCUGCAGCCCACAAGAAGGCCUUUACCAGAACCUGACCAUACUGGCACCCUGAACAUGGACUUCCAGCCUUCAGAAAUGUGAGAAAUGAACUUCUGUUUAAGCUACCCAGUCUGUGGUACUUUGUUAUAGCAGCCCGAAUGGACUAAAACAGAUGGGAAGGCAGAGCAGGAGUACAGACGAAAGUAGGAUGAUAGCUUGGUGGUGAGCAUUUAUAGAAAUCCCCUUUGUGCUGUUUUUCCCAGUGAAAUGAGCAGCUGAGAUUGAGGAAGGGCAGGAGAUAUUAAAGAUCUGAAGAGAAAAAGGAGGGUGUAAUGUAAUCUUUUAGGAUGAAAUUGACUAGAUAGAGUAGGACAGCUAGAAGUCACUUGAGGUUAGUGAUCAUGAGUUCAAAAGGAGACCAGUCAGUAUUAUUUUUUUCUCCAACAUCUGAUCUUCUCUUACCAUAGAGUUUUUCAGUAUUUAAAUGAAUGAAAAAUAAAGUAAGUUAAUACUGAAUUUAUGUUGCAUGCAAAGAAAUGUUUUAUGCCAGAUUUUAUUUAAAGACCACUUAAGAAGAAAGGAUAGCACACCCUAGUUCAAUUUUUCUGAUUAAGGUAAUUAGAAUAAACAAGGAUUUCAUUUUAGUGCCUUUAUUUCUCUUGAGGAUGACAUUGCUGAAUAAAGCAGGAUUUAACACUGACAACUAGUUUUGAAUCUGUCCAUCUACAUGUUAUUUUCAGAAAAGGAGGAAACCAGAAGUAAAGGAUAGCUGAAAGAUCUGAUAGUCUCUAGAAAUUUCUUUCUAAAAUUCUGAACUGUGCUUGAUUAUCAUUCAACAAGCAUUUUCUCCAUAUAUCCUUUUUUACCAGUUACAGGAAAAAACAAUUAAACAUGAUUCUUACCUCAAGGCAGGUACACUUUUUGUUUGUUUAUUUUUUGUUGUUGGUUUUUUUUGGCCAAACUGCACAGCUUGCAGGAUAUCAGUUCCCUGACCCAGGCCCCAGCAGUGAAAGCGCUGAGUCCAAACCACUGGACCACCAGGGAAUUCCCAAGGCAGAUAUACUUUUAUUUGAACCAACUCUUUCAGAGAACUUGGUCCUAUGUAGCAUCACAUAAAAUUAGCACUGAUAAUGAGAGAAUGUUAUGAAAUUUUUGAAAUAAAAAGCCCAAACAUUAAGACAUUAUAUAUAAAGUCUUUCUGGUAGGACUUCUACUUUUUUUUAACAGUAAACAUGUGCUCAUAAAGACUGCUUUGUCACAACUACAAUUGUGCUUCAUGGAAUUUUAGCUAGGAUACACUAUUAGAUUCUUAAGAUUUUUAUACUUCCAUUUUUGAGGUCCAUUUGGUGUUUCUGCAGAAUUAACAAUCUUGUGAACCUCACAGUGCUUGUGAUUCAGACUUCCACUGAGAUCAAGGUCAGCACCCUGUAGUCACUCGAGUGCAGAGGACACAGAUGGACACUGUGUGGCAGUGUUUAAAUGCUCUUCCCAAAGCUAAUGCCACAGCCCUGUGUAUUGAUUGCAAAUACGUCCCAGGGUUACAUUUCUAUUUUCUAUUGCUCUGUUUAUCACAUUUUGCUUAGAUAAAUGGUCAAAAUGAAUUCCAUUACUUAAGAAAUGCAAAAACACAAUUUAGUCACUGAAUGUGGUUGUAUGUGGGUUACCACUGUGGGGAAUCUUGGUUUGGCCAAAGUAUUAUUUUCAAUGAAAAAU